rnacentral:rRNA from 1 species
UACAGAGGUCUCAAGCGUUGUUCGGAUUCAUUGGGCUUAAAGGGUGUGUAGGUGGCGCCGUAAGUCGGGUGUGAAAUUUCGGAGCUUAACUCCGAAACUGCAUUCGAUACUGCGGUGCUUGAGGACUGGAGAGGAGACUGGAAUUCAUGGUGUAGCAGUGAAAUGCGUAGAGAUCAUGAGGAAGACCAGUGGCGAAGGCGGGUCUCUGGACAGUUCCUGACACUGAGACACGAAGGCCAGGGGAGCAAACGGG